AGCAGCCGCCGCGGGAAUACGAAGGGGGCUAGCGUUGUUCGGAUUUACUGGGCGUAAAGCGCACGUAGGCGGACUUUAAGUCAGGGGUGAAAUCCCGGGGCUCAACCCCGGAACUGCCUUUGAUACUGGGAGUCUUGAGUUCGAGAGAGGUGAGUGGAAUUGCGAGUGUAGAGGUGAAAUUCGUAGAUAUUCGCAGGAACACCAGUGGCGAAGGCGGCUCACUGGCUCGAUACUGACGCUGAGGUGCGAAAGCGUGGGGAGCAAACAGGAUUAGAUACCCCGGUAGUCCCUGUCUCUUAUACA
rnacentral:rRNA from 1 species